CGUGUUUGCAAUAUGGCCGCGAUUCAAACGUCGUUUUCACGUUCGCAACCACCAAGUUGCGUCAUCACAUAAAUCAAAUCAUGUACUUGCAAUGCGUCUAAUUGGAAUAUUCGGAUGUAAUUUUAUUGUGCAAUCGACAUGUGGUAUGGGGUGAUCGCAGUUUCACCUUCUCGAAGUGUACGCGGCGAAGUUAUCAGCUGUUUGUUUGCUUUUCACAUGUUUCAAACGGUAACUUUGCGGUAGUAGAGUGCCAAUUGUGCAGCACUGCUAACACAAAGAGAUGCCAUGUUGUUGUUUUGAUUUUAACACUCCAACACCAUUCGGCACUGCUGAUAACGCACUCUUAUUUUUAUUUUCUAACGUUACAUUUAUCAUUUACUUAUUCUUUAGUAUUUUGUUAUAUUUUAAUUCUGUUUUAUUUUCUGUUUAUUGCGUGCGACGUUGUUGAUGGUGCAUUACGAUCGGUUUCUCAAUCCACUUCUUGAAAACGUUCCUGUUUUCAAUCGCAGACAUGUAUAUUAAAAAAAAUAAUUGUACUUACUGUUAUUUCUCUUUGCACUUAAAAUUUUCUGCUGUUUCUAGAUGACCUUUCAAGGUCACCCACCUGACGUCCCGGAUUAGUCUUACUUUCCCAAGAUUGGAAAAAGGUUUGAACAUUGCUGUAUCGUUUAUCCAAUGUCUCUAAUAAUUUUUAAAUUUUCUGUUACUAAUUGUUCUUUCUGCUUGUCUUUCAGGUACAUAUUCGAUAUAUUGGGGCAUUUUUGUAAUUCGGGCGCGUUCGUUUUCGGUUUAUGUACUUUUUGUGUCUACUAAUAUUCCACACCUUCAUGUUUUAACACACUACCUCUUAAUAUCAUUAUUACUUUAUUGUUUUUCAAUCCUUUUAAUAUUCUUAUUUUUCAUAAUUUAAAAAAAUCCUUGCCAAUUUUGAUUAAUUUAUCAUUUAUUUAUUUUAUUCUUUAAAAAUUUUUUAGUUCCGAAUAUCUACCAAAUCAUCCUUACCCAGUAUUUUUAAUCUUUGUUUCGAUUCACAGGUAUAAGUGAUAAACGAUAUUCGCGAGAGACCUGGAGAGGUGUAACGAAAUACUCAUCGAGUGCGGGUCGCGACGCGUUUGAUUUAACCAUUUUAUUGAAUCGUGUUCAAUUAGCUACCGAAGGAGGGUCGUGCCUUGUCCCCUUUCACCUGUUAGGGAAAGUACGCAGUGUUUACAAAAAAUGUAUCCGAAUAUUCGACAAAUCGAGUGCGGGACGCGAUUAAAAAUCCGAAAGUAUCGCGUAAUCCGUAUUGCACUAUUAAAGUGCGCGUUAAAAAUAAUUCCAAUUCCAUGAGGGUUUGUACGGGGCCUCAACGGACUGCAAGCAUCCUACCAGCGGUUUGGACUCAAGAUUGUAUUAUAAUAUCAACGCCAUAAGUACCGGCGAACGCUAUGUCGUGGGGCUGCCGUUCUUGCACUAAAUUGUACGGUGCCUUGAAUGGGAGUCACUUCUACCGCUACCUUCGCACGGUGCCCUAAAUGGAAAUUUUUAUGGAUCCUUUGUUGGAUGAUUCAUUGGCUAAUCCUGAGAUGGUCAAGUUAAUCAAUAGGGACCAACUGGAGAGGUUCCGUGGUACUGGUGGAGGAGUCCGUAUUGAGGAUUAUGUUUUAAUUACUGAAGAUGGAUGUGUCAACUGGACUUAAGUUCCAAGAACUGUACAAGAAAUUGAAGAUUGGAUUGCCGGUGUUGAUGAUGAUUCCAAACACGAUUGACUGAAUUUACAACAUCUUGAAGCUGUUAUUGUUAUCAUUUUUGUUUAUUUUGUUAAAAGUUAUAAAAAAAGAAUUAUAUAAUUGCAUAUUAUUAUCUCGUUUUCUUGCUUGUAUUGUUGAAAAUGCUGUAUACAUUAAGAAACUGAGUUUGUGAUUGUGUAUAUUCUACAUGUUUGAAUAAAAAGGUAGUUUUAUAUUUUUGACUAUAAA